GACGAACGCUGGCGGCGUGCUUAACACAUGCAAGUCGAACGGAAAGGCCCUGCUUUUGUGGGGUGCUCGAGUGGCGAACGGGUGAGUAACACGUGAGUAACCUGCCCUUGACUUUGGGAUAACUUCAGGAAACUGGGGCUAAUACCGGAUAGGAGCUCCUGCUGCAUGGUGGGGGUUGGACAGUUUCGGCGGUUGGGGGUGGACUCGCGGCUUAUCAGCUUGUUGGUGGGGUAGUGGCUUACCCAGGCUUUGACGGGUAGCCGGCCUGAGAGGGUGACCGGCCACAUGGGGACUGAGAUACGGCCCAGACUCCUACGGGAGGCAGCAGUGGAGAAUAUUGCACAAUGGGCGGAAGCCUGAUGCAGCAACGCCGCGUGCGGGAUGACGGCCUUCGUGUGGUAAACCGCUUUCGCCUGUGACGAAGCGUGAGUGACGGUAAUGGGUAAAGAAGCACCGGCUAACUACGUG
rnacentral:rRNA from 1 species